UUCCUCGGUAGCUCAGCGGUAGAGCAGUCGGCUGUUAACCGAUUGGUCAUAGGUUCGAAUCCUACCCGGGGAG
rnacentral:tRNA from 1 species